UCUUCCCAUCCUUUCUUUUUUUUCUUUUUCUUCUUCAUUCCUUCUUUUUUUUUUUUUCUUUUCCUUCCUUUCUGUCUUUUCUCUUUCUUUUUCUCUUCUAAUGUGAAGAGAUUUCAGAGUGCCGAAUCCAUUCUGAUCCUAUUUUCUCGUAGCAAUGGAAUAGAACGAUCGAGACACCCUCCAUUCUGUCGGGACAUAAAAUCUUACUACAUAUAUAAGUAAUUAUUGACCAUUUGCACAAUUCUAAUGUGUAUAUUCAUGCACAAAUUAAUGGUACAUGGGUGCCCGAUGGAC
rnacentral:lncRNA from 1 species